rnacentral:rRNA from 1 species
UACGUAGGGGGCAAGCGUUGUCCGGAUUUAUUGGGCGUAAAGAGCGUGUAGGCGGCCAGGUAGGUCAGCUGUGAAAACUCGAGGCUCAACCUCGAGACGUCGGUUGAAACCACCUGGCUAGAGUCCGGAAGAGGAGAGUGGAAUUCCCGGUGUAGCGGUGAAAUGCGCAGAUAUCGGGAGGAACACCGGUGGCGAAGGCGGUUCUCUGGGCCUUACCUGACGCUGAGGAGCGAAAGCGUGGGGAGCGAACAGG